UCUCGAUCUCAGUAAUCAACUGGAAGCAGUUAUUGGUGUCGUGGCCAUGUGUGCGAUGAUACUGACAGUAUUUGUCGGGAUCUCGCUGGUCUGCUUCCGUUCUCAUAGGUCUAGGCCAUUGUAAGAACUCCUUGUCUUGGACGGCCAUGAGCACUUCGGCUCUGGAGGCAUUGAGUGGGGUCGGCUUCUCUGGAACCCACGGCGGAAGUGAUUUCUAUUCUGGGACC
rnacentral:lncRNA from 1 species